UACGUAGGGUGCGAGCGUUGUCCGGAAUUAUUGGGCGUAAAGAGCUCGUAGGCGGUCUGUCGCGUCUGCUGUGAAAACCUGGGGCUCAACCCCGGGCCUGCAGCCGAUACGGGCAAGCUAGAGUUCGGCAGGGGAGACUGGAAUUCCUGGUGUAGCGGUGAAAUGCGCAGAUAUCAGGAGGAACACCGGUGGCGAAGGCGGGUCUCUGGGCCGAUACUGACGCUGAGGAGCGAAAGCGUGGGGAGCAAACAGG
rnacentral:rRNA from 1 species